rnacentral:rRNA from 1 species
CCUACGGGGGGCAGCAGUGAGGAAUAUUGGUCAAUGGACGAGAGUCUGAACCAGCCAAGUAGCGUGAAGGAUGACUGCCCUAUGGGUUGUAAACUUCUUUUAUAUGGGAAUAAAAUGUUCCACGUGUGGGAUUUUGUAUGUACCAUAUGAAUAAGGAUCGGCUAACUCCGUGCCAGCAGCCGCGGUAAUACGGAGGAUCCGAGCGUUAUCUGGAUUGAUUGGGUUUAAAGGGAGCGUAGGUGGAUUGUUAAGUCAGUUGUGAAAGUUUGAGGCUCAACCGUAAAAUUGCAGUUGAAACUGGCAGUCUUGAGUACAGUAGAGGUGGGCGGAAUUCGUGGUGUAGCGGUGAAAUGCUUAGAUAUCACGAAGAACUCCGAUUGCGAAGGCAGCUCACUGGACUGCAACUGACACUGAGGCUCGAAAGUGUGGGUAUCAAACAGGAUUAGAUACCCUUGUAGUC